UACAGAGGGGGCAAGCGUUGUUCGGAAUUACUGGGCGUAAAGGGCGCGUAGGCGGCCCGCUAAGUCGAACGUGAAAUCCCCGAGCUCAACUCGGGAACUGCGUCCGAUACUGGCGGGCUUGAAUCCGGGAGAGGGAUGCGGAAUUCCAGGUGUAGCGGUGAAAUGCGUAGAUAUCUGGAGGAACACCGGUGGCGAAGGCGGCGUUCUGGACUGUUUCUGACACUGAAUAACGAAAGCCAGGGGAGCAAACGGG
rnacentral:rRNA from 1 species